GUAGGUGGCAAGCGUUGUCCGGAUUUAUUGGGCGUAAAGCGAACGCAGGCGGGAAGAUAAGUCAGCUGUGAAAGCCCUCGGCUCAACCGGGGAACGGCAACUGAAACUAUUUUUCUUGAGUGCAGAAGAGGAGAGUGGAACUCCAUGUGUAGCGGUGGAAUGCGUAGAUAUAUGGAAGAACACAGUGGCGAAGGCGGCUCUCUGGUCUGUAACUGACGCUGAGGUUCGAAAGCAUGGGUAGCGAACAGGAUUAGAUACCCUGGUAGUCCAUGCCGUAAACGAUGAGUGCUAAGUGUUGGGAGGUUUCCGCCUCUCAGUGCUGCAGCUAACGCAUUAAGCACUCCGCCUGGGGAGUACGACCGCAAGGUUA
rnacentral:rRNA from 1 species